GUUCUUCCGCCAGCGCCCAUCGUGAAGACCACAGUUUCCUGUCGCGUGGAUGUGUUUCCUCUCUGGCCAUUGCCAUCCGCCCAAAUCUACAGACAUCCCGCAUGUUCCCGGGCUCGUCUCCCCAAUACAGGGCACCAAGGUGAGUGCAAGGUGCAUGGGCAGCGCCGUUUCCUCCAUCAAGGAAACCGGGCUGCGGGCCGUCGGUGGGCGGCUGGUCUGCUGGGUCUAGAGGAGGGAGGGCCUCAAGCCGCGUGCUUUUCACCGUCUGAGUAUCUGAAGCCUCAAAGCCAUGUCUGUCGCCUACAAAAAGUGGGUCGGUGUUUACGACCUGUGUCCCAUGUUUUUAGCAUCCUACCAAGGCGAAUCCAUUGACCAGGAUUUAAGUUGAGACUCCCCCAGGACCCCGGGUGCAGCAUCUGGGUCCCCCUGCCCCGCCCUGCCUUGCGCCGCAGCCGCUUCCGUUGUCCUGCCAGGCUGUAGACUGCGCAGCCCUCCUGGAGACAGAUGGAAGCUCCUUGGGUCGACAGAUUACAGCUUCUGGAACCCCCUACUCCCUUCAACUCCGAGAUGGACACCCACUGUCCAGGGAGAGGAUGCCUGGAAAUAACAGCUGGGAUCUACAGUGGCCAAAGAGUUGUCUCCGUCUUGCUACAUCGACAAACUGGUGCUCCUGAGUGAGGAUUGUGCCCUGGGAUGGGGGAUUCAGUUUCUUCAUUUAUAGUUGGAAGUGGGUGAAGCCACUUCGGAAGCGUUUUCCUCUCCACUCUGACAACAGGCAAGAGUGAGGGUCCAACAAUACAGAGGAAGUAACGUGUCGCUGCUACUCUUCCAUGCCCAGUGCCAGGAGCGACGGUACACUCCAGAGUGCUGUGCCCUGAUGGGCCUUUGAGUGGCCAGUGCAGUGGAUCAUCAGCCCUGUCUCCCAAGAGCUCCAGUCCCUUCUCCGGAGAGGAAGUGGGUCCACUGGCAGCUCAGGAGGCCAUAGCAGAUUGUGGGGCUCUGUGCAGUUGAUGUUAGUUAACCACUGGAUCCACGUGUUCACCGUGGCUUGCGCCCCUGCAUCCGAAAGUGAUCUUGGCUGCCGUGUCCUGGUCAUUGGUAGUGCAGGGAAAGGAUGCGGAAAGACGGGCUCCGAGCUCGGGGCGUCUGGCCUGGAGCUUUCCUACACUUGUGUCUUGCUCUGCAGCCUUACGGAAGUGUGGGUGGCGCUUUCUGGAAGCUGCACAAGUCAGUGCUGGGUCUUCGCAACUUGGUGUUCUGUUUCCAGAAACUUGGGGUGUUUGCAUGUGCUAGGUCAGCACAGAUUUCCAAAGGAUCUCUAGGAUUGUCACGUGUGCUCAACAGUCCUCCUCGGCUUUCCAGAAGAGGCUGGAACAGGGCCCUUGAAGAUGUUUGUGGACAUCAGAGGGCCAAAGACGACACAAAGUGAAACUGGAGACACCGCCCCCCCUUGGCAUCAUGAAACUGCCGAUGUUACUGGCUCAUGCAUGGGAGACACCAGCAUACAAAGUCUUGACACCAACACCUCAGAGGGCUGUGUUCUGUCCCCGUGACCAUCAUCUAGUGCCUGGAAAGACUAGUGACAAGAACUUGUUGCCAACUUCCUAUUACCUCCCUAACAGUUGUGCAAUAAACCCCAUAGGUUAAUUCA
rnacentral:lncRNA from 1 species